rnacentral:rRNA from 1 species
UACGGAGGGAGCUAGCGUUGUUCGGAAUUACUGGGCGUAAAGCGCACGUAGGCGGCUUUGUAAGUUAGAGGUGAAAGCCUGGGGCUCAACCCCAGAAUUGCCUUUAAGACUGCAUCGCUUGAAUCCAGGAGAGGUGAGUGGAAUUCCGAGUGUAGAGGUGAAAUUCGUAGAUAUUCGGAAGAACACCAGUGGCGAAGGCGGCUCACUGGAGCUGGUAUUGACGCUGAGGUGCGAAAGCGUGGGGAGCAAACAGG